rnacentral:lncRNA from 1 species
UUGGCUUUCAGCUCACAGGGAAGAUGAAGCCCAAAUACAAUAGAUACCAAGGCAAGCUUGCUGAAGAGCAGCUCAACCCAUACUGGUACUCAGAGUCAUUCUAAGGAUAAAGCCGUCUCUCCAUGGAGAAGGGUAUUGUACAUAGGAGUUUCAUUUAUUCAGCACCAAGGUCCAGUGGCACUGACAUGGCUGCAGGAGUCAAGCCUGCAGUUGGUCUUUGGAAAACAGGGAGAGUGUGGGCGAGUGCAUUAAAGGAAGCAAAGCUCUGGAAGGAAACCAGCUUCUAAUCUUGACGCUUCCCCGGUUCUCUUUUUUUCUUUAUAAUUUUAGGUUUGUGGGUCCCAGAUCUCCAUAUUUGCCUUUUGGAGCUGCUUUAGAAAUAAGAAAAAAGAUGAAUGAGGGAAUUAGGGCCAAGUUACUCCGGCCCCAUGAAGCACGCCAGCACCAGGAAGCAUAACCUGAGGCUCCAUCACGUUUGGAGCUGCCUGCUUUGCAGUGGCCCACCCCACUCGUGCAGAGGGCCUAUUUUCAGAGUCACAGAGCUUCUGAGCUAUGGGGCCAACAGAAAAUACACACAUUGAGGCAUUUCUCCAGAGGAAGAAACUAUGUGAGUCAAACAUUUAAGCCGCAAGUAAGUGCAAAUAUUUCCCUCUAGACCAAACUUCUCUACAUAGGAAAGGGGAACAGGAAGGUUGAUCUGAGUUCAGUUUUCAUUCCCAUCACACUCCAUGACAUCUUGGGAAGGAGGAGCUCACAGCAUAAGUCCUUAGCAUAUCCAGAAUUCAAUGAUUCAUUUAACACAUGUUAAUAAAGGUGUGUCAUGUGCUCAGCAUCAGCAUGGGUUCUGGGAACACAGUGC